AUUGAACGCUGGCGGCAGGCUUAACACAUGCAAGUCGAGCGAGCGGCGGACGGGUGAGUAAUGUAUGGGGACUGCCCGUUAGAGGGGGAUAACUACUGGAAACGGUGUCUAAUUCCGCCUACUCUCGGAUAACCCAUAUGGGAUUAGCUAGUAGGUGGGGUAAAGGCUCACCUAGGCGACGAUCGCUAGCUGGUCUGAGGGGAUGAUGUGCAACACUGGAACUGAGACACGGCCCAGACUCCCGGGGGGGCAGCAGUGGGGAAUAUUGCACAAUGGGGGCAAGCCUGCUGCAGCCAGGCCGCGUGGAUGAAGAAGGCCUUAGGGUGGUAAAGUACUUUCAGCGGGGAGGCGUUACCCGCAGAAGAAGCACCGGCUAACUCCGUGCCAGCAGCCGCGGUAAUAC
rnacentral:rRNA from 1 species